AUUGAACGCUGGCGACAGGCCUAACACAUGCAAGUCGAGCGGAGCGGCGGACGGGUGAGUAUGCCUAAGAAUUCUGCUAGUUGGGGGGGAUAAAGUUCCGAAAAGGGGCCCUAUACCCCAUACCAUUACGUGAGGCUCGGUCGGAUUUGCUUGGUGGUGGGGUAAAGGCCUACAAAGGCGACGAUCCGUAACUGGUCUGAGAGGAUGAUCAGUAACACUGGAACGGAGACACGGUCCAGACUCCUACGGGAGGCAGCAGUGGGGAAUAUUGGACAAUGGGCGAAAGCCUGAUCCAGCCAUGCCGCGUGUGUGAAGAAGGUCUUCGGAUUGUAAAGCACUUUAAGUUGGGAGGCGUUACCAACAGAAUAAGCACCGGCUAACUUCGUGCCAGCAGCCGCGGUAAUAC
rnacentral:rRNA from 1 species